AGAGUUUGAUCCUGGCUCAGGAUGAACGCUAGCGGCAGGCUUAACACAUGCAAGUCGAGGGGGAUUGGUUUUCGGACCAAGAGACCGGCGCACGGGUGCGUAACGCGUAUGCAAUCUACCUUUCACAGAGGGAUAGCCCAGAGAAAUUUGGAUUAAUACCUCAUAGUAUAUAGAAGUGGCAUCACUUUUAUAUUAAAGUCACAACGGUGAAAGAUGAGCAUGCGUCCCAUUAGCUAGUUGGUAAGGUAACGGCUUACCAAGGCAACGAUGGGUAGGGGUCCUGAGAGGGAGAUCCCCCACACUGGUACUGAGACACGGACCAGACUCCUACGGGAGGCAGCAGUGAGGAAUAUUGGUCAAUGGACGCAAGUCUGAACCAGCCAUGCCGCGUGCAGGAUGACGGUCCUAUGGAUUGUAAACUGCUUUUGUACAGGAAGAAACAGUUCUACGUGUAGAACCUUGACGGUACUGUAAGAAUAAGGAUCGGCUAACUCCGUGCCAGCAGCCGCGGUAAUACGGAGGAUCCAAGCGUUAUCCGGAAUCAUUGGGUUUAAAGGGUCCGUAGGCGGUUUAGUAAGUCAGUGGUGAAAGCCCAUCGCUCAACGGUGGAACGGCCAUUGAUACUGCUAGACUUGAAUUAUUAGGAAGUAACUAGAAUAUGUAGUGUAGCGGUGAAAUGCUUAGAGAUUACAUGGAAUACCAAUUGCGAAGGCAGGUUACUACUAAUGGAUUGACGCUGAUGGACGAAAGCGUGGGUAGCGAACAGGAUUAGAUACCCUGGUAGUCCACGCCGUAAACGAUGGAUACUAGCUGUUGGGGGCAACUUCAGUGGCUAAGCGAAAGUGAUAAGUAUCCCACCUGGGGAGUACGUUCGCAAGAAUGAAACUCAAAGGAAUUGACGGGGGCCCGCACAAGCGGUGGAGCAUGUGGUUUAAUUCGAUGAUACGCGAGGAACCUUACCAAGGCUUAAAUGUAGAUUGACCGGUUUGGAAACAGACUUUUCGCAAGACAAUUUACAAGGUGCUGCAUGGUUGUCGUCAGCUCGUGCCGUGAGGUGUCAGGUUAAGGCUCGCAACGAGCGCAACCCUUGUCCUUAGUUGCCAGCACGUAAUGGUGGGAACUCUAAGGAGACUGCCGGUGACAAACCGGAGGAAGGUGGGGAUGACGUCAAGUCAUCAUGGCCCUUACGGCCAGGGCUACACACGUACUACAAUGGUAGGGACAGAGGGCUGCAAACCCGCGAGGGCAAGCCAAUCCCAGAAAGCCGUUCUCAGUCCGGAUCGGAGUCUGCAACUCGACUCCGUGAAGUCGGAAUCGCUAGUAAUCGCAGAUCAGCAUUGCUGCGGUGAAUACGUUCCCGGGCCUUGUACACACCGCCCGUCACACCAUGGGAGUUUGUUGCACCAGAAGCAGGUAGCUUAACCUUCGGGAGGGCGCUUGCCACGGUGUGGCAGAUGACUGGGGUGAAGUCGUAACAAGGUAACCU
rnacentral:rRNA from 1 species